rnacentral:rRNA from 1 species
AUUGAACGCUGGCGGCAGGCCUAGCACAUGCAAGUCGAGCGGAUGACGGGAGCUUGCUCCUGGAUUCAGCGGCGGACGGGUGAGUAAUGCCUAGGAAUCUGCCUGGUAGUGGGGGACAACGUUUCGAAAGGAACGCUAAUACCGCAUACGUCCUACGGGAGAAAGCAGGGGACCUUCGGGCCUUGCGCUAUCAGAUGAGCCUAGGUCGGAUUAGCUAGUUGGUGAGGUAAUGGCUCACCAAGGCGACGAUCCGUAACUGGUCUGAGAGGAUGAUCAGUCACACUGGAACUGAGACACGGUCCAGACUCCUACGGGAGGCAGCAGUGGGGAAUAUUGGACAAUGGGCGAAAGCCUGAUCCAGCCAUGCCGCGUGUGUGAAGAAGGUCUUCGGAUUGUAAAGCACUUUAAGUUGGGAGGAAGGGCAGUAAGCGAAUACCUUGCUGUUUUGACGUUACCGACAGAAUAAGCACCGGCUAACUCUGUGCCAGCCGCCGCAGUAAGAC